rnacentral:RNase_P_RNA from 1 species
CCCACCCGGUGCAAGGCCGAAUAGGGGAGCGCUGUAGAGUGGCCCGCUCGAUGCUCCCGGGUAGGCCGCUGGACCCGGGCAGCAAUGUCCGGGCAAGAGGAAUGAUCACCCUCCCCGGUCUUCCGGGGAGACAGAACUCGGCUUACAGACCCCUCUUCCGC